CUGACGAGUGGCGGACGGGUGAGUAAUGUCUGGGAAACUGCCUGAUGGAGGGGGAUAACUACUGGUAAUACCGCAUAACGUCCAAGACCAAAGAGGGGGACCUUCGGGCCUCUUGCCAUCGGAUGUGCCCAGAUGGGAUUAGCUAGUAGGUGGGGUAACGGCUCACCUAGGCGACAUCCCUACUGGUCUGAGAGGAUGACCAGCCACACUGGAACUGAGACACGGUCCAACUCCUACGGGAGGCAGCAGUGGGGAAUAUUGCACAAUGGGCGCAGCCUGAUGCAGCCAUGCCGUAUGAAGAAGGCCUUCGGUUGUAAAGUACUUUC
rnacentral:rRNA from 1 species